rnacentral:rRNA from 1 species
AGAAGAUACCGCGGGCGCACGGCGGAUGCCUUGGCAUGGGAAGCCGAAGAAGGGCGCGGCAAGCUGCGAUAAGCCCCGGGGAGGCGCAAACGGCCUUCGAUCCGGGGAUUCCCGAAUGGGGGAACCCAGCAGGGGUCAUGCCCUGCUACCCGCACCCGAAU